rnacentral:rRNA from 1 species
CUGCUGCCUUCCGUAGGAGUUUGGGCCGUGUCUCAGUCCCAAUGUGGCCGUCCACCCUCUCAGGCCGGCUACUGAUCGUCGCUUUGGUAGGCCGUUACCCUGCCAACUGGCUAAUCAGACGCGGGCCCAUCUUAUACCACCGGAGUUUUUCACCCUGGGCCAUGCGGCCCUGGGCGCUUAUGCGGUCUUAGCACCUAUUUCUAAGUGUUAUCCCCCUGUAUAAGGCAGGUUACCCACGCGUUACUCACCCGUCCGCCACUAAAGUAAAA